CUACGGGAGGCUGCAGUGGGGAAUUUUGCGCAAUGGGCGAAAGCCUGACGCAGCAACGCCGCGUGAGCGAUGAAGGUUUUCGGAUCGUAAAGCUCUGUCAGAUGGGAAGAAGAACAUGACGGUACCAUCAGAGGAAGCCCCGGCUAACUCCGUGCCAGCGAGCCGCGGUAAUACGGAGGGGGCGAGCGUUGUUCGGAAUUAUUGGGCGUAAAGCGUAUGUAGGUGGUUUGACAAGUCAGACGUGUAAGCCCACGGCUCAACCGUGGAAUUGCGUUUGAAACUAUCUAACUUGAGUGCAGAAGAGGAAAGCGGAAUUUCCAGUGUAGCGGUGAAAUGCGUUGAUAUUGGGAAGAACACCUGUGGCGAAGGCGGCUUUCUGGUCUGCUACUGACACUGAGAUACGAAAGCCAGGGGAGCAAACGGGAUUAGAUACCCCUGUAGUC
rnacentral:rRNA from 1 species